rnacentral:rRNA from 1 species
CCUACGGGAGGCAGCAGUGAGGAAUAUUGGUCAAUGGACGAGAGUCUGAACCAGCCAAGUAGCGUGAAGGAUGACUGCCCUCUGGGUUGUAAACUUCUUUUAUAUGGGAAUAAAACGUUCGACGUGUGGGAUUUGGUAUGUACCAUAUGCAUAAGGAUCGGCUAACUCCGUGCCAGCAGCCGCGGUAAUACGGAGGAUCCGAGCGUUAUCCGGAUUUAUUGGGUUUAAAGGGAGCGUAGGUGGAUUGUUAAGUCAGUUGUGAAAGUCUGCGGCUCAACCGUAAAAUUGCAGUUGAAACUGGCAGUCUUGAGUACAGUAGAGGUGGGCAGAAUUCGUGGUGUAGCGGUGAAAUGCUUAGAUAUCACGAAGAACUCCGAUUGCGAAGGCAGUUCACUGGACUGCAACUGACACUGAGGCUCGAAAGUGUGGGUAUCAAACAGGAUUAGAUACCCUAGUAGUC